rnacentral:rRNA from 1 species
AACGAACGCUGGCGGCAUGCCUAACACAUGCAAGUCGAACGAGACCUUCGGGUCUAGUGGCGCACGGGGGCGUAACGCGUGGGAACCUGCCCUUAGGCUCGGAAUAACUCCCCGAAAGGGGGGCUAAUACCGGAUAAUGUCUUCGGACCAAAGAUUUAUCGCCUUGGGCUGCGCCCGCGUUGGCCUAGCCAGGUGGUAGGGUAAAAGCCGAUCAAGGCGACGAUCCAUAGCGGGUCUGAGAGACAGAGUAGCCACACUGGGGCGGGGCCACGGCCCGGACUCCUACGGGAGGCAGGCGUGCGGAAUCUUGCCCAACGGCCGAAAUCAUGAUGCAGCACUGCCGCGUGAGUGAUGAAGGCCUUAGAGUUGUACAGCUCUUUUACCCGCGAUGAUACUGACAGUACCGGGAGAAUAAGCACCGGCUAACUCCGUG